rnacentral:rRNA from 1 species
CCCUUAGAUGUUCUGGGCCGCACGCGUGCUACACUGAGUAAAUCAAUGGGUAAGGGAACACGAAAGUGCAACCUAAUCUUGAAAUUUGCUCGUGAUGGGGAUCGACGGUUGCAAUUUUCCGUCGUGAACGAGGAAUACCUUGUAGGCGCGUGUCAUCAUCACGCGCCGAAUACGUCCCUGCCCUUUGUACACACCGCCCGUCGCUCCUACCGAUUGAGUGAUCCGAUGAAUACCAUGGAUUGAGAGUACGAAUAGGUUCGCUUAUUUCUGCUGCUCGAGAAGUGGAGUAAAUCUUAUCAUUUAGAGGAAGGAGAAGUCGUAACA